rnacentral:lncRNA from 1 species
UUCGGAACAGGUUAGUGUUUCGUUUGUUAAUCCAUAUUAUUGAUACAUCCACUAAUGUUUUGAAUAAUUUGGGGAUCAUUUUGUUGCAGAGGACUGAGAAUAUGGUCUCAAGGCUAAACCUCAAGGGAAGUACAAGCGAAUGAUAUGAAAAUGUAAGAAGAAAACGAUUCAUAUGAAUGUAAGCAGCAAUCCAUGAAGGUUUUUAUGUCUAAAGCUGUAAACAUUGUAAUAUUUAUGGUGUUUGUUUAUCCUGUACUCUAUGCAACUCCAGCCUCAACCUGUUUCAGGCUGAAUAACAGUGAAUUAAAUAAAAUAAAAAACAAUGAAACCUUUUCUAGCUUCGUACUCAAUAUUGUUUAAUUUAGUUAUAAUUUCAUACUAAAUAUCAGUUGAGUAUCAAGAGGAUGCUGCUUUUGUGGCAUGGACUACUACUCACAUCGACUCUUCCAAGUAACCUUGGUGGUUUGUGUGUCAAUGCAGAGUGUGUCUAUUUCAAGGUUGGUAACAAAAACAAUGGGAAACUCUUUAAGUUGUUGCAGAAUCUCGUUUGUCAGCACUUCCCACUGAUAAGGCCAUGAAAGCCAAAUGUGCUAAACAUGACAGUACAGCUAAUUCUUUCCAAGAUUCGGAAAAUAAUAAUUUACGGAGAAGAUGACUACCAUGAUGUCUUGAGAACAAGAUCAUUAAAAAAGGUUAAUUAGGAUUAAAGAACCCACGCUCUCAGUCUACUCUACUAUUCUCGCUAUAUCUCCUUAAUGUUGAACGUUCUGUAUAUGGUUUUAUGAUCCCUUGCUUGCAAGGGGAAAUCUAGCUUUGGCUGUUGAUGACGAUGGCUUAUGUACUGAGAAUGAUCCAUUUCAGUUGCCGUUAUGUCAAAGAUGCAGACAAGUAUUUUACUGAUGCCGUCAAGGUGGUUACUGAUGCCUAAAUGUUUGUAAUAGGGCCACAUGAGUUAGUUAAGAUCACACUUACUGAUUUGUUACAAUUAUUUUGUUAUUUCAGGCCAAAGGAAGGCUUGUUAGUCAGGGAGAUUUACUCACUUUAUCCAAUUUACUGGCCGCCAAAGACUCCUCCUCUCAUAUACAGAGAUCAGUUCUCGAGUUGCGGAGUUGGUAUGCUUCAUGUUUAACAUGAUUUUUUUAGUAGAGGUCUUAGUUUUUGGGUUCGUUUAGUAGUAUAGUUCCAGUGAGGCACUUCGUCUCGCUGGUCCUUGUCUUGAGUUUGGCUUAAAAGAUGUAGGCUUUCGUCUUGUCACCCAGUCCUGUUAAAUAUCUUUGAAUUGAUUACAUCUAUAUGCCAUCUUUCUGCAUAUUGAUUUGCGAGUUAAUCGCCACACUGUUUAGGAUAUCUGGCCUAAUUGGCUCGUAGAUAUUAGCAAAGAUGAUACAAAGCUUAUUAUUUAAUUUCAUGAGACGUUUACAUGUUGAACUGUUGAAGCUUGAUUAGGCCUGUGUGCAAGGAGCAGUUUUAGAAAACAAUAAACAGGUGUUAUCCCAUACUUAUGUUUAUGCCACGCUUUAUCAGGUCCUUUGAUUGCUUGUUUGAGAGUAGGUGAAUGCAUUGUGCAAAUAUCCAUGAUCUGAUUAUAAAUAAUACUCUAAUAGUCAAUGAUUGCACUUAAUUAAGUGAUAAUUUUAGGCUGAUUAAUCAAUGAGACCAGUCCAAUACCCCGAUUCACUAGUGACUCGAGUUUUGCGGAGAAAAUACCGAAUGAGCUCGCCUUUGCGAAUAUGCUCAAUGAAUAAUCAAUUUGAUUUAAGAUUUGCACACAAUCUCCCAAAAGUCCGAAAUUAAUUUCUGAAAUACCAAUCGAAAAACAUUUCAAUUCACCUUAAAAGUCCGAAAUUAAUUUCUGAAAUUUAAGAUUUGUAUGUAUAUGUGUUACAUGUAUCUAUAUAUUGUUUAUUUUAUUGUGCAUAUAGAAUAGAUCGAGAGAGAGAAAAAUUAUAUUUCAAUUGUAUAGCUUUAAAUAAAAUAAAAUUCAACAAAUCAAUGUAUCCUUUUUAAAAAAAAAACUCGAACCAUACUAGUAUAAGAUAAUAUAGAUUGAAAAUCCAUUUGAUGUAAUAUAUAGUAUAAAAUAUAUAAAAUAUAUAAAAUAUAUAUUUAUUUAGAAAGAUUCAUUAUAUUUUAUGUGUAGAAAAUAAUAUUUUUAAUAUAUAAAAUAAAAAAUUUAAUAAUUAUUUUAACAUAAAGUGAAAGCAACUAAAAGUAAAAAGGAGAAACACAUUUGUAACAUAAUAAUGAUUAAUCUUUACUACCUUAAACCAAUGAAAACAAAUUUUAAACUAUAUAGUUUAUUUUAAAAAUUAAACAAAAACUAAAUUUUUAAUUAUUUACUCGAUAAUAUAAAUCUAUGAAGAGAAAAAUUUAAUUUUUUAUAAACUUUCUAAAUUUGUAAAAUGUUACAAUAUCUUUGAAUACGACAAUAAAACGAUAUUUUACUAAUCUUUAUAUAUAGUUACGAUUUUAAUAAUGAAAUAAUAAUCCGAAAAUAUAUAUAUAGAAGAAGAUACAAAUACAUGUGAAAGUUUGAAACAAUCUAUUCAAUGAAAAAAAUAUACCGUAAACUUAUUAUAUUUUAAAAAUUGAUACACACAUAUAUAUUACUCUCUCUGUUUCAUAAUACUUGAUGUUUUGCCUUAGUGGACAAAGAUUAAGAAAAUUAUUUUUUUCUUAAAAAAACAUUUUAAGGAUAUAAUUUUAAAAUUAGUUAACCAAUUAUAAAAAAGACGGUAAAAUCUAAUUGGUUGAACAAUUUCCAAUAAAGUUAAAGUUAACCUUAAAAUCUCAAAACUUCAUGUAAAUUGAAACAAAAUAAUCAUUCUAUAAUAUAACCAAUUUAGAAUUGAAAACAAAAUAUUUAUAUAAAAAUAAAUGAAAAUAAAAAAACGCGCGGUUGCGCGGAUCGAGAUCUAGUAUCGAUUAAAUUUAUUGAAAUAUAACUGUGUUCCAGAAAAAAAGGAUUUUAAAUAUAAUUUUAAUUUGAUUUAGAAGUUAAAGAAAAACUUACAAAAAAAUCAAACUGAUUGACUAUCGAACCAAACCGAUAUUUUUUUUUGUAAACAUGUUGAUCGGUUAAUUGAUAAGGUGUUGAAAGAGAGCCAAGGGAAGCAAGAAGAGAAAAGUAAUUACUCCACUUGUUUGGUCAAAUAAUGGAAGCGGCGACUAAGCAGAGCGUUACAAACCGCCUUCUCACCGUGAAGUCAGUUUCCGGCAAGACUUACAGCCAACUAGCGGCGGAGACAGGGCUCACCAACGUCUACGUGGCUCAGCUGCUCCGUCGCCAAGCCCAGCUCAAACCCGAAACAGUGCCCAAGCUCCGUGAAGCUUUACCUGCUCUGACAGAAGAACUCAUCGCCGCCAUGAUGUCUCCGCCGUGGAGAUCGUAUGAUCCAAACCUCAUCCAAGAACCCACCGUCUACAGGUUUUUUUAUUCUCAUCGAAGUUUAUUAGUUUCUGGGUAUUAAAGUUGAUGGCUUUUUAUAGGUUGAACGAAGCAGUGAUGCAUUUUGGUGAGAGUAUAAAGGAGAUUAUCAAUGAAGAUUUUGGCGACGGCAUGUAAGUUUUGACUAUACUUUAUAUUCAUAUAAGCCACUGCUGGUUCUUCUUAUGCUCAUAGUAUUAGCUUCUUCAGUAACUAGAAUGUUCUUUGUUAUUAAAUUAGAAGGUAAUAUUUGUUUAGUAGAUUCCGCUUUACAUAUAAGAUUGCUGUUAGAAACCUUUGAGUCUCUGUUAGUGGUAACUUUAAAACUGAGCCUUUUGUUACAUUGUUGUGUGUGUAUUCAGCAUGUCGGCGAUAGACUUCUAUUGCUCUGUGGACAAAGUUAAAGGAGUUGACGGUAAUAACCGCGUUGUCGUGACACUUGAUGGGAAGUAUCUUUCUCAUUCGGAACAGGUUAGUGUUUCGUUUGUUAAUCCAUAUUAUUGAUACAUCCACUAAUGUUUUGAAUAAUUUGGGGAUCAUUUUGUUGCAGAGGACUGAGAAUAUGGUCUCAAGGCUAAACCUCAAGGGAAGUACAAGCGAAUGAUAUGAAAAUGUAAGAAGAAAACGAUUCAUAUGAAUGUAAGCAGCAAUCCAUGAAGGUUUUUAUGUCUAAAGCUGUAAACAUUGUAAUAUUUAUGGUGUUUGUUUAUCCUGUACUCUAUGCAACUCCAGCCUCAACCUGUUUCAGGCUGAAUAACAGUGAAUUAAAUAAAAUAAAAAACAAUGAAACCUUUUCUAGCUUCGUA